AUGGGGUUUAUAAGUUUGCCAGUCUCUUUUUAUGGUUAUACUCUUAAGACUAUUUGUCACGUUCUGAACUGGAUUCCGAACUAAUCAAUUGCAAAGACUCCAUAUGAGAUAUGGAUGAGGCAUAAGCUGAUACUUUCUUACCUUAGGGUUUGGAAGUGUUUGGUAUAUAUCGAGCAUUUACAAAUUGAUUAUCUUAGAUCCUGAUCC
rnacentral:lncRNA from 1 species